rnacentral:rRNA from 1 species
AUUGAACGCUGGCGGCAUGCCUUACACAUGCAAGUCGAACGGCAGCACGGGUGCUUGCACCUGGUGGCGAGUGGCGAACGGGUGAGUAAUACAUCGGAACAUGUCCUGUAGUGGGGGUAAGCCCGCGGAAAGCCGGAUCAAAACCCCAAACGACCUACGGAUGACAGGGGGGGACUUUGGGCCUUCCGCCUGUGGGGUUGGCCGAUGGCGGUUUAGCUAGUGGGUGGGGUAAAGGCCUUCCACGGCGACGAUCAGUAGCGGGUCUGAGAGGACGACCAGCCACACGGGGACUGGGACACGGACCAGACUCCUACGGGAGGCAGCAGUGGGGAAUUUUGGACAAUGGGCGAAAGCCUGAUCCAGCAAUGCCGCGUGUGUGAAGAAGGCCUUCGGGUUGUAAAGCACUUUUGUCCGGAAAGAAAUCCUUGGCCCUAAUACGGUCGGGGGAUGACGGUACCGGAAGAAUAAGCACCGGCUAACUACGUG